UGGGGAAUAUUGGACAAUGGGGGGAACCCUGAUCCAGCCAUGCCGCGUGUGUGAAGAAGGCCUUAUGGUUGUAAAGCACUUUAAGCGAGGAGGAGGGUACUGGUAUUAAUACUACCAGGUACUGGACGUUACUCGCAGAAUAAGCACCGGCUAACUCUGUGCCAGCAGCCGCGGUAAUACAGAGGGUGCGAGCGUUAAUCGGAUUUACUGGGCGUAAAGCGUGCGUAGGCGGCUAAUUGAGUCGGAUGUAAAAUCCCCGAGCUUAACUUGGGAAUUGCAUUCGAUACUGGUUAGCUAGAGUGUGGGAGAGGAUGGUAGAAUUCCAGGUGUAGCGGUGAAAUGCGUAGAGAUCUGGAGGAAUACCGAUGGCGAAGGCAGCCAUCUGGCCUAACACUGACGCUGAGGUACGAAAGCAUGGGGAGCAAACAGG
rnacentral:rRNA from 1 species